rnacentral:rRNA from 1 species
UGGGGGAUUUAAUUGGGCGUAAAGGGUCCGUAGGCGGCUGGGUAAGUCGGAUGUGAAAGCUCGCAGCUUAACUGCGAUAGGUCAUUCGAAACUGCUCAGCUUGAGGACUGGAGAGGAGACUGGAAUUGUCGGUGUAGCGGUGAAAUGCGUAGAUAUCGACAAGAACACCGGUGGCGAAGGCGGGUCUCUGGACAGUUCCUGACGCUCAGGGACGAAAGCUAGGGGAGCAAACGGGAUUAGAUACCCCGGUAGUCCUAGCCCUAAACGGUGCUCACUUGGUGUGCGGGGAGUCGACCCCCUGCGUGCCGAAGCUAACGCGUUAAGUGAGCCGCCUGGGAAGUACGGUCGCAAGAUUAAAACUCAAAGAAAUUGACGGGGGCCCGCACAAGCGGUGGAGCGUGUGGCUUAAUUCGAUGCAACGCGAAGAACCUUACCUGGCCUUGACAUGCUGGUAGUAGAAGCCCGAAAGGGUGACGAUUCCUCGCAAGAGGAGAGCCAGCACAGGUGCUGCAUGGUUGUCGUCAGCUCGUGUCGUGAGAUGUUGGCUUAAGUGCCGCAACGAGCGCAACCCCUGCCCUUAGUUGCCAACAUUUUAGUUGGGCACUCUAGGGGGACUGCCCGCGUCAAGCGGGAGGAAGGUGGGGACGACGUCAAGUCCUCAUGGCCCUUAUGUCCAGGGCUACACACGUGCUACAAUGGCGUGAACAAAGGGACGCAAACCCGCGAGGGGGAGCCAAUCCCAAAAAACACGCCCCAGUUCAGAUCGAAGGCUGCAACUCGCCUUCGUGAAGUUGGAAUCGCUAGUAAUCGCGGGUCAGCAACACCGCGGUGAAUGUGUUCCUGAGCCUUGUACACACCGCCCGUCAAGCCACGAAAGGGAGGGAUAUCCGAAGUCGCUGUGCUAACCGCAAGGGGGCAGGCGCCGACGAUAGACUUCCUGAUUGGGACUAAGUCGUAACAAGGUAACC